rnacentral:rRNA from 1 species
AAUAUCAAAGGUGAGCCAGUACAGGAUGGACCCGCGUCUGAUUAGCUAGUUGGUAAGGUAACGGCUUACCAAGGCGACGAUCAGUAGCCGACCUGAGAGGGUGAUCGGCCACAUUGGAACUGAGACACGGUCCAAACUCCUACGGGAGGCAGCAGUGGGGAAUAUUGCACAAUGGGCGAAAGCCUGAUGCAGCAACGCCGCGUGAGUGAUGAAGGCCUUCGGGUCGUAAAACUCUGUCCUCAAGGAAGAUAAUGACGGUACUUGAGGAGGAAGCCCCGGCUAACUACGUGCCAGCAGCCGCGGUAAUACGUAGGGGGCUAGCGUUAUCCGGAUUUACUGGGCGUAAAGGGUGCGUAGGCGGUCUUGCAAGUCAGGAGUGAAAGGCUACGGCUCAACCGUAGUAAGCUCUUGAAACUGGGAGACUUGAGUGCAGGAGAGGAGAGUGGAAUUCCUAGUGUAGCGGUGAAAUGCGUAGAUAUUAGGAGGAACACCAGUUGCGAAGGCGGCUCUCUGGACUGUAACUGACGCUGAGGCACGAAAGCGUGGGGAGCAAACAGGAUUAGAUACCCUGGUAGUCCACGCUGUAAACGAUGAGUACUAGGUGUCGGGGGUUACCCCCUUCGGUGCCGCAGCUAAC